rnacentral:rRNA from 1 species
UACGGGGGGAGCAAGCGUUGUUCGGAUUUACUGGGCGUAAAGUGUGCGCAGGCGGCUUGGCAAGUCGAGUGUGAAAUCCCCGGGCUUAACUUGGGAAUUGCGCUCGAAACUACCUGGCUAGAGUGUGGCAGAGGAAGGUGGAAUUCCACGUGUAGCGGUGAAAUGCGUAGAGAUGUGGAGGAACACCGAUGGCGAAGGCAGCCUUCUGGGCCAACACUGACGCUCAUGCACGAAAGCGUGGGGAGCAAACAGG